UACGGAGGGUGCAAGCGUUAUCCGGAUUUACUGGGUUUAAAGGGUGCGUAGGUGGGUUGGUAAGUCAGUGGUGAAAUACUUUCGCUUAACGAAGGAACUGCCAUUGAUACUAUCAAUCUUGAAUAUCGUGGAGGUCAGCGGAAUAUGUCAUGUAGCGGUGAAAUGCUUAGAUAUGACAUAGAACACCAAUUGCGAAGGCAGCUGGCUACACGAAUAUUGACACUGAUGCACGAAAGCGUGGGGAUCAAACAGG
rnacentral:rRNA from 1 species